AUCUCAGCUCUGACAUCUAUACCCUGUGUGACUUUGGGCAAAAUGUUAUGCCUCUCUGGGCUAAAGUUUCUUCCUCUCGAAAAUGAAAUAGAGUAAAGUAAUUUGAUGUCUGAGGUUUCUUUUAGCCUUAAGGCAAUGAUUUGAUGAAGCCAUGCCCCUUCAUAUAAAUUAUUUCAUUCAGUAAACAAAACACAACAACAAAAACCUUAUGAGAUGGAUUCAGAACAAUGGACUUGGAGGUGAUAAAUUCUGAGUUCAAAUCUGACCUCAGAUACUUACUAGCUUUGUGAUGCUGACCAAGUCAAGUUCAUCUUUCUCAGUCUCAAUUUCCUUAUUUGUAAAAUCAAGAUUAUAAAGUGCAUACCUGAUGGGGUUGUGAGGGUCAAAUGAAGUAUAACACAGAGGUAUGAAUGUUAUCUAUAUAAUAUGUGGCUAUGUAAAUACUCAUAUAUGUGUGGAAUUUUGCAAACUUUUAUAUAAAUGCUAGUUCUUUUGAUUAUUAUUUUAAAGAGAAAAAUGGCUACUAGUACGUAAACCCAGAUCUCUUGGCUCCAAGUCACAUGGUCUAUAUAAACAUGAACACAGAGAUACAUUUUCUCUUUUAAUGAAAUGAGGGUUCUCUGGCAAACUCUUUAAUUCACAGACGUGCUUGCCUCACAUCUGGAUAGGCUUCUGGAUUCAUUUUAGUGGAAUUUACUGUACUUUAACAAAUCAAUAAACUCUACUGCUUGAGUUUAAAAAAAAAGGUUUAAUAAAAUGGAGAAAAUGUCUCCUUUAAGGUCCAAGAUCUUUUUCUUUUAAUUAGACAAUUCUUAUCUCUUUCACCUUGGUAGCAAUCUUCGGAAAGCAUGAAUUCGAUCAGUCCAUGGGAAAGUUAAUUUUAAGUCCCAUCAGCCAAUCAGAAUGCUCUUCAGGCAAACUGGUAGAUGUAAAAACUGGUCAAUAUAAGUGUCUAGCAUAUAAUCAGAAAGCACCAUAGAGUGGUUGGAAAUAAUUAACCAGGAGUUCAGAAAUAUAGAUUCUUUCUAGACCUAGUUCUGCCACUAACUCGCUGGGACACUGAAUAAGUGACUUUCUGAAUCUUCUUCUUUUUCUGUCAAAUGAGAACAUUGAACUAAAUAAUCCCUAAUGUCCUUUCCAAUUCUCACAUUAGAUGGUUGAAAGUUUUCUCUUCCCAUGUCUGACCCCCAGAGUUCUUAUAACUUUGUUCUAGGGUCAUUUGGCUCUGACCUUGUGUCCUCAAGUUCCAUCCAGCUCUAAAUGUCCAGAUUCUGUGUAAGUAGUUUUUGAGUGCUCACAUUCUUUGGUCUUACAAUACCUUCUAGCUCCAAUAUUCUGUUUUAGGGUUCAUCCAGCUCUGGCAUUCUAUGCUAUUCCUACUAGCAGGAAUACAUCAUUUUCUAGGAUUAUUCUCACAUUUCAUCCUUUCCAAAUGGGGUUUCUGCUAUGGGACUAGAGUAUAAGGGAAAGCAUAAAUAGAACAAAAGUAGACCCAUGUUACAAUGGGUUCUUGUCAGUAUCUCAUCAAAUGAACUUAGUUAAACAACUAAUUUAACCUCUCUCUCUGUCUUCAUGCCACUUCAGUCAAAUACUUUCUUUAUUUAUGGGACUGAACACAUAUCAGGUACUACAUAUUGGGUUAAUGUCCCAUCUUAUUAUGUAGGAUUGCAGGGUCCCAAUACUAAGAACAACUUUUUUUUUUAAACUAUGUCCCUCUCCGAGGUAGCUUUAAUUCCCACGUCAUGUACCACUGAGACACUUGGACCUCUCUGCCUACGGAAUGAGAUCUCACAGAACCCUGGUCCUAAAAAACUAAGUUUGUUUUAUGCCUUUCCUUGUAGAUCCCAGCCAUAUUAAUCUUCCUAAUCUACUGACCCGAGCAUGAGAUUAUACAGCAUGCUCAGAUACCUAUAGUGGCUCCCAGUGGUGCUACCAUUAAGUUCAUCCACAGCUAGAGUCCAAACCACUUUUCUGGGUGUGACUCAUACUAAUCUCUCUCAUGUAACCUACAUUUCAGCCAUCUUGGACUAUUGACUGUCUUCUGAAAUUGUUCCCCUCUUCUCCCACCUCUUUCCUCAAACCACUCUCCUCCAUUAAGAAUUCUCCUUCUGCCAUUUUUUUUCCUUUUCACAGCCACACCCAACCUUUAUAAUCCAUCUCAAAUGCUACCUCCUACAUGAAACUUUCUUUCAUCCUUCUAGGUAGAAGUAAUUUCUUCUUCUAAUCUCUUCAACCACUUUGUUCUUCUUAUAUAUUAUUACAUUAUUUCUGUACUUGUCUUAUCAGGAGAUCUUUGUGGCUCUCCACUGGUGAGCAAGCCUCUUUCAUUUUCUGACAUCAACUUCCCCAUUUGUAAAACUAAGGAAUAUAAUAAAAUGAUCUCAAACUCUUUCCAGCUGGGUUUUUUAAUUCAAAUAUUCCUUUGUCUAUAUUCGAACAUUCCAUGAUCUCAGGUUCUUUCUUGCUCUACCAUCUCUUGUUCUGAGGGCCCCUCCAACCCUAACAUUCUGUGCUUUGAAAUUAUCUGUGGUAUGUCCUAUCUCUGUUCCAACCUUCUUUCCAGGGCUUCCAUGUUAAUAGAACAUUCUGCUCUAAUAGCCUGUCUCAUAAGCUCCUCAUUUAUACAUUCUAUGACUAUAUUUCAAAUUUCUUGGAGAUAAGAUCCUUUUAUUAUUAUGUCCUCCUAAAUGCUAUCCACAGAACCUUGCCUUAUUAAGUAGUUGUUACUUCAUAAAUGAAAGUUUAGGAGUCAAGGUUCCCCUCUCAGAAAUUCCCCUUUCUUCAACAAGUUUCAAAGGCCCCAGUAGACUAUUUCCCCCAUUAGACCCUGGGGCUUUUAUUCUAAACCCUUACCUCUGUCUUAGAAUCAAUACCGUGUUUUGGUUCUAAGGCAGAAGAGCAGUAAGAGGUAGGCAACUAGAGUUAAGUGGCUUGCCCAGACUCACACAGCUAAGAUGAGUCUGAGGCCAGAUUUGAAUCCAGGAACUCCUGUCACUGGGUCUAGUUCUCAAUCCACUGAGGCACCUCACUGUGCCCUAGUCCCUAGGUUUUACAAAUCCUCAUCAAGAAAUCCCUAGAGCUUCAAAGAGGAAAUACCUCAAGUUCUUCUUGUCCCUUUGAUUUCAUUUAUUAUCUGAGAUGUCAAAUGCAAAUCUCAGCCAGGUCAGUCCCAAAUUCCUAGCAGUUUUCAUCCAAUGGAGCAAUAAGCAGAGGAGAAGAAUUACCUCAUUUGUUGAACCUAUGAGGCUUUCCUUCAUGACAGCUCCACACAGCACUCACCUCAGUGCUUCUCUGACUAUCUCACUAUUGUCCUCUGCUCUAAUUUAUGGUCCUCCUAAAGGAAGAUUUAUUCCCCUUUGACUACAGUGCUCUAAAGAGGGCUUUUGUAGGCAAGGCUGGUUCUGCAGUUCCCUUUCCAUUCCAUGAGUGACCAUCAAGAAAGUAGAAGCAACAGCUUUACAGAGCAUGAAGGAAACCUUCUGUGUCCAGAAGUCUGAGCAUGGUAAGGAAUUGGGACAAGGGGGAGGGUCGAAUAACUUCCUCAGGGCCAUUGCCUGGGCACUGGGGUUUUCCAAAAGAACAUAGGCUGCUUCUGUAGUCUCUUCCUUCACAUCCUUGCCAGGACACACCAUUGCUUACUUGCACCAAUAUAAUAGUCUCCUAACUAUUCUCCUUACCUUCUGUGCUCUUCUCUCUAACCCAUCCUUCACUUUGCUGGUCCAAAUAAUCACCCUCAUCCUUAGGACUUCUCAAAACCAUUCAGGUGUGCUUCAUUGUCUGUAGGAAAAUUAUACACUCCUUAGCCUGAUAUUCAUGGUCUUAUUCCAUCUCAUUCCUAUUUCAUUCUUUCCACUUUCUGCCAUUUUAUACUACCAGGUUGUUCCCUGGUCUUACUCUGGCUUUUCCUGUCUCUGUGUAUUUUCUUUCUUAGUUUCUCAUGCUUAGAAUGAAGCCCUUUCCAUGCCACAUCUGUUGAAAUUCUCUUUUUUCUUCAAUGCCCAGCCCAAGUAAUACCUGCUCCAGGAAUCCUACCAUGUUCCUCCCUAACCUGAAGCUCAAAUAUCUUUAUACCUUUUGGGGAAACUCAUGGUGGGGUUCCUGGAAGAGAUGGCACCUGGACUGGACUUUGAAACAAAAAGAGAAUUUCAAUAGAUUUAGCCUUGGGUGUUGGGGGAGGUCUUUUCCAAAGCUUUUCUGAUUCUACUCUCUAGCCUUUCCCCCUCUGAUGAUUCUUUCCUUUAUUUUUAUCACAUUCAAUUACAUUAAAAUCAUUUAUGUAUUUGUCUCACCUUCCCCCCUUGCCCAAGGCAUAGCCUCCUUGAGAACAGAUAUUAGGUCAUUUUUCAUCUUUGUAUAUUCUCUAGCAUCUCACACAGGGCCUUGCAUAAAGGAAAUGCUUAAUAAAUGUUUGUUGAAUAAAAUGUGUAGUGGACCCCAUGGGCAGAUGCCUAGCUCUUUCCCUUAGAGAAAUGAAUUGUUCUUUAAAUGUCAGCCUUCUCAAAUUCAAAGAUCCAAAUGCUUCUCAAAUUCUUUCUGGCACAGAAUCUGUGACUCUUCUUAUGUAUGCCACUCAUUAAUAAAGCUAGACCUCAAUCCUGGCCCUCUUUUUCUCUCUUUCCCCAUUCUCUGUCUCUACUUCUCUCCCUUCUCUCAUCUCUAUGUCUGUCUCUCUCUUAUUCUCCUCCCUGCAAAACAGCUUACUACCUAGGUGAUGGCAAGGUACUUGUUUCCAGAACUCCAUUUCCCUGCAUUUAAAAUAGAGAACUAAGAGGACUUUCUAUAGUUCUUCGCAGCUCAGAAACCUUUGAUCUUGUGAACUCCAACUAGACACAAUGUCUGUGUAAGAGCUCCCACUUCUAUAGUGCUUUGGAGAUUAUAAAGCCCUUUCUUUACAAAAAGGAACAGGGAGGAUAACCAAGAAGGGACACAUUGCAUUAUGUCAUGGGAAGAAUGUCAGACUCAAGGUGCCAGCUCUGGUACUGACUACAUGGCCUUAGGCAAGCCAUUUAACAUAGCUCUUGUAAGGAAAAUACUUUGGAAACUUUAAACUGAUAUAAAAAUGUGAGUAAUUAUUUUUUCUCCAUCCCGCUCCUCUGGACAUGGGGCAAAUGGGGCUGCGUUACAUUCGCCCCUUCCAUCUUUCCAUAUUUCACCCAGGUUCUCAUUUAAUAACAAUUCAAAUCCCAGGAAUAAUUGAGUUUGUGCUGGGCUGGACUUGGUCAAGUACCCAGAAGCAAGAUAUGAUAUUGAUUCUCCAAAUGUGACAAAAAAGAGAAAAAAAAGACAAUUGAAAACUUGAAAGGUUUGAUUCGUCAAUUAGUAAGCAUUUACUGUGUGCAGAGAAGUAAGCUCAGUGUCGGGACAUAUUCAGAUUUAGGAAAGACAAGGCAUUGUCCUCAGGUAGCUUUCAUUAGUGGAAUAAGACUUAUGGACAGGUAAUUCUAAUAAAAAUAAUAUAAGCUAGCUGUACCAAAAAAUCAGGAUGUUAAUGUUGGAAAAGACCUUAGAAGCUUGAAUAUCAAAACUAGAAGAUGCCUUUAGAACACAGCAUAUUAGAACUCAGAAUGUCAGAACCCAGAACAUUGAACAUCAGAACUUGAGGAACCUUAGAAAUCAUCUAAUCCAAACCCUUGGUUUUAUGAUUAAGAAAACUGAAGUCUAGAAAGGUUGACCCAGAGGAUGUCGGACACAGGACUCCUUGACAGAAGCUGAGUAAUCUAUCUCUUCCUAUUAAAGAGGAGAGAAGAUAAAAUCAUUACCAGUGGGGGCAUAUGGAAGAGUUCUUAGAGAAGAAUAAUGAAUGGAUACCAGGAGUGGACAAGUAUCCCAGGCUUCCCAAAGAGAUACAGAUAAUGCUUGUUGAAAGUAUAGCAGAAAUCUACAUGGCUAAAAUAUAAAUGGAAGGAACAAUAUAAAUGGAAAUGUGAUUAUAAUGACCCAGAAGCCUGGCCCUAGAGUAGGGUGAAAGAAAUUCAUCUCCGUACCUUUUUUACAGAGUCAGGGAACCAUCUCAGUUUCCUUCAUCUGCAAAAGGACUGGGACAGAUUAGACCUGGGAUUGCUAAACUUUUCUAUGUGGUAGACCCCUCUGACAAUCUAGCCUAGUAUCAUUGGUGCCUAAACAAAGUCUGGAAGAUCACCUGCCAGGGAUGCCACAGAGAGGAUUCUUACAUGGGUCCAGAAGGUGGAGUAGAUGCCCUUGGAGCUCCCUUCAAAGUUGGAUGCAUUAGGAUGAUAAUCAGAGGAUAAAAAAGGAAGAAAAGGAGAAAGAAAGAAAUAUGAAAACUUAACUUCAGGAUGAUCUCUACCACCCCUGUCAUUAGGAUGUUAAAAGACUGUGCUCAUUAGCAGAAUAAUUUUACUAAGUACAUUUCAGUAGAAGAUGCUUGAAAGGGUAUCUCAGCAUGUCAUUUCUUGGAAAUGACUUCAACUGUGAUUUCCUAAGUCCAUCACUGCCUAUGCACCUUGAUAUUAAGAGGUAGAGGUAAAAGGUCCUCUUUCAAAAUGGAAUAAAUAUCAUCUUAUGGCCAAA